AUUGAACGCUGGCGGCAGGCUUAACACAUGCAAGUCGAGCGGGGGAAGGUAGCUUGCUACCGGACCUAGCGGCGGACGGGUGAGUAAUGCUUAGGAAUCUGCCUAUUAGUGGGGGACAACAUCUCGAAAGGGAUGCUAAUACCGCAUACGUCCUACGGGAGAAAGCAGGGGAUCUUCGGACCUUGCGCUAAUAGAUGAGCCUAAGUCGGAUUAGCUAGGUGGUGGGGUAAAGGCCUACCAAGGUGACGAUCUGUAGCGGGUCUGAGAGGAUGAGCCGCCAAACGGGGACUGAGACACGGCCCAGACUCCUACGGGAGGCAGCAGUGGGGAAUAUUGGACAAUGGGGGGAACCCGGAUCCAGCCAUGCCGCGUGUGUGAAGAAGGCCUUAUGGUUGUAAAGCACUUUAAGCGAGGAGGAGGCUACUCUAGUUAAUACCUAGGGAUAGUGGACGUUACUCGCAGAAUAAGCACCGGCUAACUCUGUGCCAGCAGCCGCGGUAACAC
rnacentral:rRNA from 1 species